AAUGUUUGAAUGUUAGACGUGUGUACAACUCUCCAUCAAUUUUCCAUCAAUACAAACUCAAUGCUCUUCAGUUAAAAAUAUUAGGUCCCUUUUUCCAGCAAUGUAAACUCCAGCCUAAUUGCACAAGAAAAGGAUUCUGUCUAUUUGUUUCCAUCUUAUCUUUUGGCAUUUUGGUUGAAUACUCUGAAAUACAUUAUGCAGAGGUGAAAGCUCAAAUGGUGACAUUUUUUGGAAAAGCUGUGAUGUGAAACCAAGAUGUGGUGCAUACAAUGGUGAGGGUGCAUACAAUAACACUGCUGCUGCUGUGUCCAGCAACCCACAGACCUGCUCUCUGGUGAGGAUGAGUUCAGAAGAGAACUGCAGUUACUAGAUGUGAAUUGUAGUUCUUCUAAUUGACUGUUUGGCAUUCAUCUGUAUUACAGCAAAUUUAUAGUUUACAAAAUUCUUGAACCUAAGAGUCUCGCUUCUGUUCUGAGAAGGAAAUCUUUUUCUACUGAUGAAACAGACUCCAAGAAAAAGGACCAUUUAGAAAGACUUCUUCACAUUUAUUUCUUGGAGGAGUUUUCUAAGAAUAAGGCUAAUGAUUUAUCAUCUUCCCGACUCAAAAAUGAAAGCAGGCAUUGUUUGUUAAAUAGGAGAAUACAGAAUCUUUAGUCUCUUUUUUUUUUUUUUUAUUAUUCUACAAACUGUUUUAAUAAAGCUGGCAAGGAGGGAAAUAAAUGAGGCAGACAAUUCAGUUUUAUGCAUAUUGACUAAAAAUGAGUAACGGCUGGAGAUCCACCAAGCCAGCCGGGGACAGGGACCAAAGGAUUGAUAAAUGAUGUAGUGUUAUGUAUGACCUGGUACAGGCAGAGUCAAAUCUCUGCUGAUGAAUUCUAGUAAUGAUACACAGCCUAUAAUUACCAAGCAAUACAAGUAAUGAGAGCAGAAAGGCAAUAACAAACAGGAGAGUAUGGAGAAAUACUUCAGGUUCCAGCUCUUAAAAUAACACAUGUCUCUUAAUUCCAGCUACUUGGCUGUCCAGCUUCUGCAGUUCUGUGCCCUAGAGCGAGGCAGUUUUUCAAUGGACUCCCUCUACAGCUGUGGUUUUGACUGGUUUUGUAUAGGUAGAGAUCUGUAAAUGAAAAAAGAAGGUAGCAGAAAGAAGCUUAGAUUGCGAUACUGUGUUGGUUUUGUUGCAGUUAAACUGCUCAAAACGGCUGCCUGAGCUGUGUGUGUCCCCACGUACGACUCACACAACGAAGUGAGCUGCGAUCUGGAUGUAUUUGCAAAUAGUUUAGCCUACGUAUAAAUUUCAGUCUACAAAUGGCGUGGAUUUAACGCUGGUGAACAGUAUUUGCUGACAACACUGAUGCCAAAGGAGGAGUGGUGCCUGCAGGGCAGGAUCAUGCAGCUGCUCUGCUGGGCUGGUGGGUCUCUCCGCCGAGCCGAAGGGGUCCUGCUGCUGCUGGGCUGAGCCCCCAGCCCAAUGCUCCCUUGGAACUGGAGCGUGUCUCUUAGAAGAAAAAUGGCCUAACUAUGCGUAACAUAACAAAACAGAGCAUAAUUAUUGCCAGUGUAGAAGAACUGUCACAAUCCACUUUUUUUCAGUGGACAACUUCUCUUGUUUCUUUAGUAUGUAUCUUAUUUUCAUCUAAAUUUCCUGGGCAGAAGAGCUUGCCAUGUGCUCAGCAGUCCCGAACAGACCCCUGCACUGUCCCCUGAAGGCAGCCUGCGAAGAGUUCCCUGCUUUUUUUGUUGCUUUUUCCACAGGAAGGAGCCAGGGAACAACAAAGAGAUGCAGUAUUGCAAACUCAUCACAGGCAUUGGGUGAUGUUUAUAGAAAUAUUUUUUCUGGACGAAGAUUGAUGAGGAGAAGAAAAAGGCCCAUCUGCCAACACUGAGAUGUUUCUUAAAUUUACAUGUACUUCUCCAACUGAUUUGGGAUAUCUACAGUUUUUACAAAAGAACAAAUGCAUUUUGGCACAUCUAAUUUAAUGCUUUAAAUUUUUUUAGUUUUAAAUCAGACUGUUUAGCUUGGCUUGUAGCACUUCUUCUAAUUUUUCGUAAUUUUCAACAAAUUAAAAGUAACAUUAGAAUAGGAACAAUACCAUCUGUCACCUCAUCUUCCUUAAAAUUAGAUCUGUGGUUCAUUUUGGUUGAAGAACUCCCCCCGAGCUUUAUUUGUCAGCUUCUUUCAUAAGCUAGAGACAUGCCUAUGAAAGGUGUACUUAUGUGUAAAACUGUCUGUCAUGUCUUUGAUACUGAUUUGACUGCAGUUUGUUGAUUCAGAGAGUUAAUAAAUAGCUCAAAAUUAUUGUACCAGAUCUUCGUGACAUGUCAUUAGCUGAACCAAGAACAAAGGUGGAAACUCUAGUGACGCUACUGUAGUUUAAAAAGCUAAAGCUACGGAAUACCAACAAUAUUGACUUUUGUUGAAGCACAGUUCCUUUGUCUGAAAUACUUUUGUGGCUUAUUUUCUAAAAAAAGCCUUUGUCUUUAACAAUAUGGUAAAUAUUUGUUGGGAGUUGGGUGAGCUGGAUCAUGUCCCAGUGCAUUUGAAAAUAAUGAGAGAUGCAUUCUGUAUCCUGGAAACUUCCUCUGAAGAUCUGAACUCCUUAUGUAGGUCCUCUCAAUGUUUUUCUCCUUUUAAGUAGGCCUUUUGUUCCUGUUAUACUGCUGUUAAAAUAUGUCUUCUCAGAAGUUCACAAAUAACAUGGUCUGUCUGAAAUGCUGCUGCUUUUUCAUUUGUGGAAAGAUGCUAAUUAAUCAGAAUGUGCUUGUUCCAGCCAUAAAUACAUCCUUGCCAAUAUACGCUGUCAAUGGUAAGCCAUUUAGAUGACAUAAAUUGGUUUCACUCAUUUCAUAUCAUGCAAUGUGGCACCUGAAGUGCUAGGACACCAGCUGCUCUCUGGAGAUAGGAAAGACAUACGCAUUUCUAAUUUUUAUUUCAAUUUUUUUUUUUAAGUGUAGACAACCAGGUAAAAUAGCUUUACAUUUCAAUACCAUUUUCCUCUUUGUUCCAGUGUUGCAAGGCAGCACUGCUGGAUUUUGUUUUUUGUUUUUGUUCAAGGGAGUAGGAAGCCAAUGACUGCUUGCAAAUUAGAGACCCCAUUUGGCUGCAUGUUUUGUUUCAUUAGACUGUUUGGAGAACAUAAUUAGCUGUUGAGCCAGAAUGAAGCUGUAUAUCUCCAACCAUACUUAAUCAAAAAAUGUGCCUUGGUUGCUAUUCAGUUUUUUGGUUUUAAUGUGAGGUUGUCUGUAUCGUGCAAUUUCAGUAUCUGCAGGGUUUCCUUAUUCUAUUUUUUAAAUCUCAGGUUUUUCUUUUGACAGUCACACCACAAAUGUUCUGUAAGAACCAAGGGUGACUGGAGCAGCUUGGAUGGCAUUCCCAGGACCCUCGGAGGGGUGCUUUUACACUGGCUGUAGGCUUUACAAAGUUCUCUUCCUCAAAGUUAAUGGAAGCAGAACUGGGGAAAGCUGCAUCCCUUGAAACACCUUUCUAUCUCUUAUUUCCAGUCAUAUUAAUCAGGACUCUCAUAAAUGAGACAGCACUCUGAAAAAGUCCUGGAGAACUGACAACCUGUGACAGUUGUAUUUAUGGAUCUUACUGACCAACACAAAAAAUUCUGUCUUUGCAGUACAAUCCUAGAAAUACACAUGAAACAACAGAGACAUUUACUGUUGUAUUUCACUGCCUUGAUUCUCCUUGAGCUGUGCCGCUAUAGCAGAGAACAACAAACUGGGGAUGGGGGAGAAUGUUGAUUUCCUUUUUUGCUGUGUCAUCUGCUUCACAAACAAAUCACCAUCUUUUUGUUUGUGGCUCCGUAAAGCUCCUUUGUCCAGCACAGCGUAUUUUGCCUGGGUUUAGCUGUAGGUGCCCUGGCUGCUCUCCGAGCAGACAUGGUGUUCGUAGUGUCCACGUGUGCUUUGGCAGCUGCUGCCAGACACACAGCAGCAGGAGAGGGACAGAGAAUGCGAGUUCUUGUUGCUGUGGCCUUAGUUUGGAUCUGAUGGAUGCUCUUUAUCUUUGCCUUUUCUAAUAGGCAUGCUUUCUGGCAGCUUUAUUUUUAAUGUUAUAUAAAACAGACAUGUUUCUGCUGGGGGAAAUAAAAUGAAGGCACCCUCAGUACACUCACGGGGUAGCAAGAACCAAAUGGAAAAUUUGUUGCUGGCUGCAGGAUCAGGCCCUGGCUCUAUACUAAUAAAUUUUGUCAAAGAAAACAGCUGACAGAUGUAUUUUCCAGGUUUAUGUAAAGAAUAUUUUGUAGUAAGCUGUCUUCUCAGUAUUAGUUAAAUUAUCAGCCAGUUCUUUACUGUUGACAUUGUGUUUUGUGUAUGGUAGGACAGCCUACUGGUUGCGCGUUGUGUAUGCGCACAAAGAUGGAAUUCUUAUUAGACAGCUUGAUUAUAAUCAGUUUCCUAGACAGAAAACAACUUUCCUGAAAAGCCUUGGUUUAUUCUAGUGUCUCUCAGUAUCUCUGAGAAAUGGAUUUCCUGUCUGUGUGCUAUUCCAUGGAUGCCCUAUCUGAAAAUUCUUGGACCUUGUAUAUAGACACCCCCACAGCUGAGACUCACUGGCAUGGAUUCUGGAAAAUGGACACCUGGUGACUAUUCCAAGAACACUUGUGACUCUGGAACCACAGUUGGUAGUAAUUUGUUUUUAUAAGACACUUAUUAUGACAAUAAUAUUAGUAAAAUGCAGGUGUUCUGGCCAGAUGCCCUCACACAGCCACCCCUCAGUGGGAAAAUCAUCACUGUGGUUGCUGUGACCCCCUCUGUGGCUGUAUAUAACCCGUCCCUAUAAACCAGUGAGGCUGCUCUCCAGAAGCAGUUUGGGUUUUGCUGCGAAUGCUGCUGACUUCCAGGGCAUCGUCCUACAAAAUGGAGAAAGCAUUUAGCAAUCAGAAGGCGCUUGCUGGCAGGUCCUGCCCAUUUGAAUGCUGUCCUUGGUCUUUUUCUUCAGUGGUCAUAACUUACAGCAUCUUCUUCAUCCCAAGUGUCCAGGAAAACAAAAAUGUUUAAGAAAACAAACAAACAAACAUGAAACACUUUGUCCAAGACCUGCUAUUUUACAUGCUAUUUUACUGUUGGCAUUCUGAAGAGGAGGUGUGCCCUCUUGGACCCUUAUUUCUAGCCUAAAAAUAAUGAUUUUUGUUGCCUUUGUUCCCACAUUCAAGAUCAUAACCUCUUUGAGUUAUUGCUGUCAGUUUUGAGACAAAAUGUGAUAUACCAUAAUUCCUCUUCUAUGCACCCAGCACUGUGGCCACCUUUCCUUCUUUCUUCUAAUAUUUGUUAAACUGAAGAACAUUCUUUUUUUUAAAGCUUGUUCUUUACAAGUGUAACUCUGCUUGGGUUUUGGCAUCCUCACAGUAUCACUUCACUUCGCAACACCUCCAGCACUUUUAUUGUCAUCAUUCAUUGUCUGGUGAGUUCUUUCUUUCAUUCUUCAUAGCUCUCUCCUUUCUCUAUGUGUCUGUCUUCAUCCUGGCCGGCCAGUCAGUCAGCCAGGCUCUGCAGCCCUCGCCAACAGCUCUCCCCUGCCAAGCUCCCCUUUUCAGAAGAAAGUUAGAAAGCAUUUUUUUGCAUCUUGGACUAGAAUAUAAAAAAAUGUGGAGUUUCCUCCACAUUUAAAUCCCUUACCUGCUGAGUUCACUCAGUACUCCUUAAAAAUUUUACCUUAUGAAAUAUUUAAUUACAGGCAUGUGCUUGCUUAUUUGCUUAAUUAACUUUUCGUUUAAAUGCACAAUCUGCUCAUGAUCAGGAUUAAUGCUACUUUUCCCUUGUGAUUAUGUUUCUAUAGACGAUGACUCUUAGGAUGCACCUGCAGUUCCCGAGGUUUCUGUACAGCAUCUUCAUCCACUCUUCUGCCACAUCUUAAUUCUUCUCUCAUUUAUUUUCUAGAUGCAUUUUUAAUCCUCUGAUUUUCUCCCCUGUGAGCUCUGUCAGAGCUCAUUUCACACAUAAAUAACUUCUGUUAGGUAUCCUUCAUGGCUAAUGUGUGUCCCACAGCUUCUAUGUUCAGUUGACUGUGUUUUCUCCUCCAUUUACAGAGCUAUAUUGCAUCCCUGCUUUAGUAAAUACCAUGAUUUCUCCUCAGUGUUUGCUAUUUUUGCAUUGAAAAGAAGGAUAAAAGUCCAACAAACUCUUCUGUUACUGCUAAUUCUUUCUUCAACUUCCGUAAUUCCUGGACUUCUGCCUAGCUCAGAUGUCCCUUGCUGUGCCCUGCCUUUGGCUAUGUAGUCCAUCGGCAGCACUGGAAGGCUCCCCACACCCUCUGCCUCUCACCCAGCCUAGCCCCGAGCAGGUCUGCAGGCUGCGGGCUCCAGCACACCACAGCCGCUGUACAUCGCCACUAAGCAAUCCAGUCCGAUGCGCUUACUGGCCUCCCUCUGCUGUGGCCAAGGAUUUCCCUGCAAGAGCGAGCUCUUGCCAACUCCUCCUUCGGUGACAGCAGCAGAAGCAGGUGCUGCGGUGCUGGUGCCAGGCUGUGUUAGCGAAUGCCGCGGUGCAGGCUUGGUGUGGGCAGGUUUGCUACAAACUAACUGCAUCUGUAGUGCUUGCCUGACACUGUUUUUCCAUACGCAAAUGGUGAUGUUUCCAGCAUACUUCAGACACAAACAGGAAAACCUUCCUUCCGGACGUGGUAAAUAACAUUACCUCAUCUUCUGAUACUAUUCUUUACAAUGGUGUUUUAUUAUAAUGGGAUGUCAGACACAAUGCCAAGAGGUUAAGGACCUCAAUCCAAGGUCUGUGAGCCGCGGAGAACGGGGAGGCGUAUCCACACCAUCACUGCACUGCAAGUCAGGAAUCUGGCUAGGGAUCUUAAGGGCCAUAAGCAUGAAGCAUCAGGCUUGGCAGAGAAGGCUGGUCCUUUUUAAAGGAAUAACAGCAGAGGAUUAGUGUUCUACAGCCUGUGCAUCUAUGUAAUACACCUUAUUAUGUUAUUCUGAAAAUGUCUAGGUUUUGGCAGUUUUAAUAACUUAAUUUUCUUAAUUCUUAUAGACUUCCACUAAGGAGAUUGUGAGAUUGCUUGUAGUCAUGUAAAUGAAAAAUACUUUUUAAAUAUAUGAAGUUUAAUUUUUUAUCAUUAGGCUGUGCGUCAGGUCAGGAGCUAAUCUGACAGGAUGUUAAAAAUGCUAAAUGCCUAAUGAAAUGGAAAUAUUUUAUAUGUUUUGGAGGAUAUACAGACCUUAGUGACCUAAUCUUGAAGUCCUUAGUCUGUGUUUAUUGUACUUAUAGUGCUGAUUCUCGUGUCUUGUCCAACCAGAUCCUUUCAAGCUGAUCUGUUCCCCCCUUUUUACAGGUUUCAGUAGGAGGAUCUUGCCUAAACUGCCUUCAGAAAUCAGGUGCUGAACAAUUGACUAAAUGGGUUCAGAUCACUUGCAGAGGCCUAGGUAUCAGGGGAAGAGUCAAGUGCUGCUGCUGGUGAAGAUGGCACCGUGUCAGCAAGUGUUUCCUGGGCACUGGGUCCAACUCUGUGCUGAUGUCUUGCCCCUACUCGUGGAUGGAGAAUCAUAGAAUCACAGACUGGUUUGUGUCGGCAGGGCCCUUAAAGCCCACCUAGCUCCAGCCCCCUGCCCCGGGCAGGGCCACCUCCCCCCAGCCCAGGUUGCCCAGAGCCCCGUCCAGCCUGGCCUUGAGCCCUGCCAGGGACGGGGCACCCACAGCUGCUCUGGGCGGCCUGGGCCAGCGCCUCCCACCCCCACAGUAAAAAAAAAUUAAAAAAAUAAAUCUCUCCCUGUGUUGGGGUUUCCCUGGAAGGCGAACCAAGCUGACUAACAGCACAUCUAGGUGAUUUCCAAUAGGUUUCUUUGCUAAAUGGAAAUUCCACUUUACCACUAAAACUGAGACAAUUAGUAUCUCACAUCCCACAGAAAUGUCCCUGCAUUCUGCUGCCUGGGUCAUGUGGGUUUUGAAGGCAAAAUCUGAAGGAAUAAGGAGUCAGAAGUAGGACUGGCUGUGCCUCAGCCCGUGUGUUAACAGCCUUUUUGUUAAGGCACUCCGGAAUUCAACACUGCAUUAUCUACCAGUCGUGCAAGUAACUGUUCAGUCCAUAGGGUUUGAAAAACCAAAAUAGAACCAGGUUUUGUGAAGUAUUUGGAGCCUGUACCCCUAAUAAACCUUUUAAAUAAACAUUUUUAUCUAGUGACUCUUUAGCAUAGGCCUCAUAAAUAUAUUUACAGUCCCUACUGAACCUCAAGGGAAGGACCAGAAGCACUAAACCCGAGCCUGUGUUUUCUCCCUGUUUUAGCUCAUGCUGGAGGUGAAAAGCCAGGGCUGCCUUACUAUCUCACUGAGACCUCUUACAAAGGAACCCCAUUUAGAUCUCAACAAACCUCUGUCUUGACCACAAAUAAGAAUGCUCAGUGGUACUUAAAGCUUGAUCUAGGUUGUAUCAAAUGCCUACAAUUCUAUGCAUCAGUAGGUAAAUCUGAAGCCUCUUAUUAUCAGGAGUGAUAAUGGCACAGAGUACAUUACAGAACAGGCAGCUGUUAAGAUCCUGCAGGUAUUGGGAGUGCUGUGUCCUGCAAAGCCAUCUCUUUGUCACAGGUGAUCUGCCCACGUUCCUGCGCCACACCAGGAAAUGAGAAGACGGCGAGGGCAUCCCAGGGGUCUGGCUCUCCUUUUCCCCCUGCAGCACACAUAAAGAAAUACCUUCAUGGAUUUACGGCAAUACAUUCUUGAGCUGUGACCCGGUGAGAGGAGAUGGUUCGAGUAGUCGGCCUACUUUCUAAAGUUGAAUAAGGACCAGGAUUUUACUGUUUGUGUUUUGCUUGAAGUAAUGGCCUUUGAUCCAGCCUAGAUCCAUUGGAGUCAGACCUCUUUGCCUAGCAUAUGCUGCAUCAAGGCCCUGGACAAAUGGAUUUGAGCAUUCAGCUGGCAUCUUGCUUGCCAGUCACCCAACCUGCCUGUGAGAACACUGAGACUGUGGAGUGGCUGGUCAGUGAUUGCUUUUUUACACUGGAUAGCAUUCUGUGGGGGCUGAAGGAGGGUGACAGAGGCUGUUUGGAUGGGAGGUGGAACCAGCUGGUGCUGCAGGAUGUGGAAUCCCCUCCCAAUUGCCCUCCAGCUGGCUCUGUGCUGUACCAACACCUAACGGUGCCCUUGAGGACACAUCAUGCAAUAACUGAAUGCCUUCACCGAGCAAUAAACAAACUCAGGAAAGCAGCUGAUCCAAUAAUGUAUGUUAAACAGCAUAAAAAAGUGGAAGAGGAACUGCAAGUCAGUUUAAAAUCAACAAUUCCUUGGGAAGUACCAUGACAGGAUCUGCUGUAGCUGUUUCCCUUGAUUAAAUAUAUAUGAAGCAUUUAGUAUAGCUGAUGGAAACAGCUCAGCAGUAGAGACACCCAAACAUUGUACCUCUUUUUCCUCUGGUCUGUUUCAAAUUCCAAAUGAAAUGAAAUGUGAGUGUCUGAAGAUUAGAAUAUGCUAUACUUCCAUCUCUGCCUGACUCCCAUGCCUAUGAAUAUGAAGGCAAAAAUCAUACAAUGCAUCCUCAGAGAAUCUGUCUCUGGAUAGAUUUCUUUUUUAUGUGAACAGUUUGUUCAACAAAAAAGUUGGGUUAACUAGAGUUUGUCUGAGAAAUAUUUUUAAAAACUAACAUUUAAUUUAAAUGGUUUUCAAUUAAACAUUUUUAUAUUUUCUUUCAGAGACUGAACUGAAUUUAAGAAAAAAAAUUCAAAUAGUAAAAAAUUUAUUUGAUAGAAACUGAAGCUUUUUUUCCUGUUUUCCUGAUGAAACUAAGAGGGUUCAUUGUGGAGUUUUCUUUGCCUUUAAACAUUUGCUCCCCACACCUAUGCUGGAACAUAAAGAAUGGGAACACAGGUAUCAUGUGGAGGUGGCUGUCAUUCCUGCCCUAUGAGCAACCACACUUGCUAAGAGUAGGGAUUUGGAGAGUGUGUAUGCAUUAGUGUGUAAUUUAAUCUUUUUUAUUACUUUACUUUGCAGUACUUCACAAGUCAGGAAAUAAAGGGUAAGGCAUAAUCAGCAAACAGAAUCUUGCUGGUUCUUUGGAGGAAGUAGAGAAGCCACAAUAGAGAAGGGCACAAACCCAAAAAAUUUUGCAGCUACAUUUGGGUGCACUGGAAGGAGAGAGAUGGUAGGGACAAGAUUCACAUAGGAAGCAAGCUGCAGGGAAUGAGGCAAAAAAUUAACACAGUGUGGAUCAUUUUGGCAAUAAAGUUUAGGAGGAAAAAUUUUUGAGAGAUGAUGUUAAAGAAUAAGGGUGGGAAUUAGCUAAUGCCUGGUUGUAAAAAGAAAUGGAGACAGUGGAGUCAUAGCUGAUUAAGAGGUUCCAAACUCAGGUCAGGAAAAGGUCAGCGGGUGUUAACAGAGACCGAGGGUGGGAGAGCAGGAGGUGAGCCGAGACAAAAUAGUGGACUGGGGGUCAGGCUGAGAAGCAAUGGGAUUUUGGGUCACAACUGAAUGGAGAAUGAGUAAUUUGAAGAAGGGAAGUGGAAAAGAAGAUUAAGACAUAAAUCUGGAUCCUUCAGUGAUCUGCGCAAGAAGUGAAACAAAGAGAAGUAAAUUCAAAGUAAAGAAAUGCGGGAGGCACAGAAAUGUGUAGUGGGGCAGUGUGCAACUGCUCCAGAACAGGGUGAGCCACAGAAGCCUAACAGAAGUGAAUUUUAAAAAUGUAUUUCCUUAAUUUUAUUUCAUAUUAAGCAGAGAAAGGAUUCUCAACAUUCUUCACUUUCAUUUUACCAAAAAAAGUUAUUUUUUGGUCCAGAUAAAUAUCGUAAAAGCAUAGAGAACAAGAUUCUCAGAAUGCACUUAAGAGGUUUGGGGGUUUUUUUGAUGGUAGUUACCUGUUUAAGUGUGUGUUGAAUGAGACCAAGUUAGGAGGAAGGUGGUUUGUUCUCAGGCUUGUUCUGCACAAAAUUCUCACUCAUACCAAUCCUGCAUGAGUGUAUGUUAAUAUUUAAAAUAGUUGGAUCACCGAUAGUCAUGUCACUGGUAAUGGUAAGUAUAGAAAAAGCUGUUCUGAGGUCUUUGCAGAAUGCAGCCAUAAGCAUGAGGUGGUACAUGUAGCUGUGCUGCAAGCUCCUGAGACAGGUAGGAAGGAAGAAUGCAAAAAGGUACCUGCCAAAAGCUUGGGGUUUGUACCUAGUACUUUCUGACAGUUUCAGCUAAAGUAACAGGACAUUGAAAUUUAAUUCAUCACACAUUUGUUUUACAUUUUUAAAAAGUGUGGGUUUUUAUUAUUUUUUUUUCCCAGGGAAAUACAUCAAUUUUAUGAAGACAGGAAGGGGAAGUAGCUACCAGAAACUUCCAGCAGUUAACAAAAAAAAGUGUGUGGGGGGUUAAAUACAAAGAUCGAUCAAGUUCAUCAGGGAUAACUCUAAAGUAGUGGUGGUUUUAAAUCCAUAAGACACAAAACCAACUAUGCUUGGUAACAGAAAAAGAAAAUUCCCUUAUAUGUUGGUUAAUUAUUACAAAAAAUACCAGGGAUUAAAAAGUGUCUGUGAUAUUUCAAGUUUUUUUUCAACAUCAGGGUUGUUGUAGUCCCCAUACACAAGACCAGCUGCCCUCACACUUGCCUCCUGUAGGAGUGAUCCCUUCAAAGUUAAUGGGGUUUGACUCUUGAAAUCUGCAUAAAAUGAAGAAUAACUGAAAACUCUUUCUGCACCUUGAGGUUUAAGUUCAUACUGCUGUUAUGUUUAUUUGUUUAAUAUAAAAAACUGCAAACAAUUGUGGUCCCAGCUGCAAAGAGCACAGUGUUUCAGGGCCUGUGAUUCUAUAGACAUGCCUGCAUCUGUUUUAUUAUUGCUUCUACUAACUUAAGCCCUGAUCCUAUGUGUUAACAUAGCUUUUGCAACACCAUCACGUGUAUUUAUCUUUAGGCCAAGCAGUUACUGUUAGAAGUAAUGCAGUGACAGUUAUUUACAAUUAUAUAGCACACUGGUUGAUUUUACAGCUAUGCCUUGAUGCUCCAUGUGAUCUGUAUACCCAGUAAAUAGGUUUUCUUCAGAUUUCUUUAUGGCAAGACUGAUCAAAGACUGAGGCAUGUCUGUGUUUUGUUUUGAGCUCUGGCAUCACAGACAGUGUGCUUCAGCUGACAGUGCAGGCUGCUGUGAUAGCCUUUAGGCACUGCACCACUGAUGAUGUCCAAGCGUAGGAACUACUGAAAGCAAAUUCUGCAACAUCGCUGUGGGUAAGUGGAUUAAGGAAACAGAGAUUGGAGGAAGUUGUUACUAACGUUCUGUGAUAGGGGAAACAUUUGUUUUAGUGCAAUUAAGAUAAGCUAGAAGCAAUAAAAUUAAUGAUCCUGUGGUGAUCUAAUGAGGAAAAGUGUGAGAAGAUCUGUCUAAUAAAAAAAGGGAACUGCAUGUUUUGUGAAGAGCAGUUACCACUUCCAGAUUUGUGCAUGCUCUAGUUCUCUGUGUAUUUAUUAGCAGAGCACCUUAAUAGAUCACCACCAUAAAAUGCUGCAAUUUAUUCCUCUUGUAACCUUUAUCUUGGUGGAAGGAAGGCUGUGGUUUUCAGUCUGGGGCAGGAUCCACCCUCAUUUUCCAUCCAUCUCUGCUACAGACAGACCAAUAUAUAAGCAGGUUCCUACAUAGGAAACAGAAAAGAUAGCUGCAAAAACCUAACCUCGGUCUUUAAUCUUAAAUAUAUUCAGUAUCAAUUUGACUGCGAUACCACAGUUUGUAUGCAGUGUUGGUUCCCAUUCAAGGUGCGUGUGGCACUUCAGACAGCUAGGCUGUAGCUGGUGUUUACACAAGAAAAUUGACCUGAGGAAUUGUUGUGGCAUAAUUUUAUUGUGAGAUCAGUGCCAUGAUAACCUCUUCCCUCUCCCAGCAGACUUCCUGCACUUGAGGAAAACUUAUCACUUUUGUGUAAUUAAAGUUAACUGUUUACCAGUGGAAGUAUAUCAGAGUCAGUAUGCGUAAACAACAUGGUUCCGUUUCUCAGAUUUACUCAUGUGGAGGAGGAAAGUUUUAAAAACCCAGAGGAAAAUCCAAAUAAAAUUUUAGCUUGCCAGGUAAUGAAACACAAUUAUCUUGGUGUUUGUGAAAUUUAUUUUACAAGAUACACAUGGUAUUGUGAACUGAAGCUGAGGCAGAUUAAAGACCUUUAUUCAGACAGGCUGGGACAGCAGCUUGCUCAACACUGGCCCAGGCUUGUUUCCUCUGACUGGCUAUCACACAACUCAGAGACUCACAGAAACAGCUUGUUAGUACUUAGCAAUACUUUGCGCUCUCUGAUAACAUUUUAAUUCAGUCAGAAACCUGUAUGCAGCUUUGGCUUUCGUUGUGGAAAGGACCAGAAGUGCUCCCGCCCUGCCCCGCCACUGAGCCCUGUCAGGGCCGCAGGGUGCAGGGAGGUGGGACAGGCGGCCAUGAGAGUGCUGGGUUCUGAUUGGCCUGGGUUCCCACCCAGCAUGCUGAUUGGCGCUCGCUGCUGCCUCUGGAAGGUUCCACGCAGGCGGGCACUGAGGCGGCAGCGAUCCCCUGCCCCUGUGAGGCGGGAUGGGCUGUGAGGAGCCAGCUGUGGGUGGUUACAGGAGCCUGGCUCAAGGGCAGCUGCCUGGUUGCCCUCCUCAUCCACAAGCACCUUCCUUCAGGCCGUGUGCUGCUUCAUAACAGAGACAAAGCAUG